rnacentral:pre_miRNA from 1 species
ACGUUUUAAUUAUAUCCUCAAAUUAUUGAUUUAUAUCAAGCCAAAUCCUUUCGUUAUUAAAAUUGUUAAAUGACACAUUAAAUCUUAUAUAGCUAAAUUUAAAUAAAAAUAGAAUGUUGUCGCAUAACUUUUAAAAGUAAAAAAUAAAAAUAAAGUAAAACUGAAUAAAAAGAGUGAACAAUAAAGCCUCCGUAAAAGCUUUGAAAACCUCAAAGCUACAUUUUUAAAAACAUCAAUUUUUACAUAUUCAUUUUUUCUUAAAGUUUUUCAUUUUAAAUUAUAUAACAUAAAGUUAAGAUAUAGUGUGUCAUUUAAUAGUUAAAUUAACAAUUUUAAUAAUGGAAGGACCUAAUUAAUAUAACAUCGAUAGUUUGAGGAUGUAAUUAAAAUGA